rnacentral:misc_RNA from 1 species
GAGCCAUUGCAAGACAAGAUCUGAGAAUUGGAGACAUUGCCUUGGAGAUCCCUUUAUCCAUUGUCAUUUCAGAUGAUCUUGUGCAUGAAUAUUACAUGUAUUCCAUUUUGGAAAAGAUCGAGGGCAUGUCAGCAGAAACAAUGUUACUGUUGUGGAGCAUGAAGGAGAAGCACAACCCUGAUUCCAAAUUUAAGUUGUACUUUGAUACGCUGCCAGAGGUAUUUAAUACAGGUUUGAGUUUUGGAAUGGAGGCUAUAAUGGCUUUAGAUGGAACCUUGCUGCUAGAAGAGAUUGUCCAAGCAAAAGAGCACUUGCGUGCACAAUAUGAUGAACUAUUUCCAUCCCUAUGCAAUGAUCACCCAGAUGUAUUUCCUCCGGAGCAAUACAGAUGGGAGCAGUUCUU